rnacentral:RNase_P_RNA from 1 species
CGAGCUGGCCAGGCAAUCGCUGUUUCCCUUCGGGGAAAUGGAGGAAAGUCCGGGCUCCAUAGGGUGGGACGCCAGGUAACGCCUGGGGGGCGCGAGCCUACGGAAAGUGCAGCAGAGAGUAGACCGCCGAUGGCUCCUUCGGGAGCACAGGUAAGGGUGAAAGGGUGCGGUAAGAGCGCACCGCGCGGCUGGUAACAGUCCGCGGCAUGGUAAACCCCGUCCGGAGCAAGACCAAAUAGGCCCUCUACAGGUGUGACCCGCACCGAGGGCGGGUAGGUCGCUUGAGGUGUCUGGUGACAGGCAUCCCAGAUGAAUGAUUGUCCUCGACAGAACCCGGCUUACAGGCCAGCUCAACAG